UGGGGAAUUUUGGACAAUGGGGGAAACCCUGAUCCAGCCAUCCCGCGUGUGCGAUGAAGGCCUUCGGGUUGUAAAGCACUUUUGGCAGGAAAGAAACGUCAUGGGUUAAUACCCCGUGAAACUGACGGUACCUGCAGAAUAAGCACCGGCUAACUACGUGCCAGCAGCCGCGGUAAUACGUAGGGUGCAAGCGUUAAUCGGAAUUACUGGGCGUAAAGCGUGCGCAGGCGGUUCGGAAAGAAAGAUGUGAAAUCCCAGAGCUCAACUUUGGAACUGCAUUUUUAACUACCGGGCUAGAGUGUGUCAGAGGGAGGUGGAAUUCCGCGUGUAGCAGUGAGAUGCGUAGAUAUGCGGAGGAACACCGAUGGCGAAGGCAGCCUCCUGGGAUAACACUGACGCUCAUGCACGAAAGCGUGGGGAGCAAACAGG
rnacentral:rRNA from 1 species